rnacentral:rRNA from 1 species
ACUCAAAUGAAUUGACGGGGACCCGCACAAGCAGAGGAUCAUGUGGUUUAAUCCGAUGCUAAGCGAAGAACCUUACCGAGGUUUGACAUCCCGCGAAGUCCACCGAAAGGUAGACGUGCCCGCAAGGGAACGCGGUGACAGAUGCUGCAUGGCCGUCGUCAGCUCGUGUUGUGAAAUGUUGGGUUAAGUCCCGCAACGAGCGCAACCCCUGUCGUCUGUUACUCAUUUCAGACGAGACUGCCCGGGUCAACCGGGAGGAAGGUGGGGAUGAAGUCUGGUCGGCAUGGCUCUUACACCUCGGGCCACACACGUGAUACAAUGGCCGCCACAAUGGGCAGCGAAGCCGUAAGGCGGAGCAAAUCCCACCAAAAGCGGUCUCAAUUCGGAUUGAGGGCUGAAACUCGCCCUCAUGAAGCCGGAUUUGCUAGUAAUGGCAGGUCAGCCACACUGCCGUGAAUACGUUCCCGGGUCUUGUACACACCGCCCGU